rnacentral:rRNA from 1 species
CCAGACUCCUACGGGAGGCAGCAGUGAGGAAUAUUGGUCAAUGGACGGAAGUCUGAACCAGCCAAGUCGCGUGAAGGAUGAAGGUUCUAUGGAUUGUAAACUUCUUUUAUAGGGGAAUAAAAAAGUUCACGUGUGGAUUCUUGUAUGUACCCUAUGAAUAAGCAUCGGCUAACUCCGUGCCAGCAGCCGCGGUAAUACGGAGGAUGCGAGCGUUAUCCGGAUUUAUUGGGUUUAAAGGGUGCGUAGGUGGUCUUUUAAGUCAGCGGUGAAAGUUUGUGGCUUAACCAUAAAAUUGCAGUUGAUACUGGCGUUCUUGAGUGCAGUUGAGGUGUGCGGAAUUCGUGGUGUAGCGGUGAAAUGCUUAGAUAUCACGAAGAACUCCUAUUGCGAAGGCAGCUCACUAAACUGCAACUGACGUUCAUGCUCGAAAGUGUGGGUAUCAAACAGGAUUAGAUACCCUGGUAGUCCACACGGUAACGAUGAAUACUCGCUGUUGGCGAUAUACAGUCAGCGGACCAAGCGAAAGCUUAAG